rnacentral:rRNA from 1 species
UACGUAGGUGGCAAGCGUUGUCCGGAUUUAUUGGGUUUAAAGGGUGCGUAGGCGGUCUUUUAAGUCAGUGCUGAAAUAUCCCGGCUUAACCGGGAGGUGGCAUUGAUACUGAAGGACUUGAGUUCGUCGAGGUAGGCGGAAUUGACGGUGUAGCGGUGAAAUGCUUAGAUAUCGUCAAGAACACCGAUAGUGUAGACAGCUUACUAGGCUGAAACUGACGCUGAGGCACGAAAGUGUGGGGAUCAAACAGG